UACGUAGGGUGCAAGCGUUGUCCGGAAUUAUUGGGCGUAAAGAGCUCGUAGGCGGUCUGUCGCGUCGAAUGUGAAAACCCGGGGCUCAACCCCGGGCCUGCAUUCGAUACGGGCAGACUAGAGUUCGGUAGGGGAGUCUGGAAUUCCUGGUGUAGCGGUGAAAUGCGCAGAUAUCAGGAGGAACACCGAUGGCGAAGGCAGGUCUCUGGGCAUUAACUGACGCUGAGGAGCGAAAGCAUGGGGAGCGAACAGG
rnacentral:rRNA from 1 species